rnacentral:rRNA from 1 species
CCCCUAGAUGUUCUGGGCCGCACGCGCGCUACACUGAACAGUUCAACAAGUCUUAACCUUGGCCGAUAGGUCUGGGUAAUCUUUGAACGCUGUUCGUGAUUGGGAUAGACCUUUGCAAUUAUGGGUCUUCAACGAGGAAUCCCUAGUAAACGCAAGUCAUCAGCUUGCAUUGAUUACGUCCCUGCCCUUUGUACACACCGCCCGUCGCACCUACCGAUUGAAUGGUCCGGUGAAAUCUCGGGACGGCGGCUUGGUCGCUUGCGUCCGACUGCUGAAACUUGAUUAAACCAUAUCAUUUAGAGGAAGGUGAANUCGUANCA